UUAUUCUCAUAAAUUUUUCUUUUCAUAAGUUGUGUGCAUGCAUGCACGUGAAACUUUUUUAUUUCUUGUAUCUCGACUAAAUUACAAAUGCACUCACUUUAUGAAUUACUAAUUUCUUUAUAAUCAUGCAAAAGACGGAUAAAUUCAUUAACAAACUUUGGUUCACACCGAAAUUUUAUUUCCUAUCGUAUUCACGAGACUUCUUAUUCAUAUACCCUAGAGUCUAGAGUAUAUUGAUCACUUAGCCUAUAAUAUUUUUUACAAAAUAGAUUAUCGAUCGAUUUUCAAUUAGAAAUAAGGAAUUUAUUGAGGGCAACAGCUUUGCCCCUAACCCUUCUGGUAGUCAAAAGAAGAUGCCUCAGUUCAGCCCAUGUAAAAGAUUCAUAUUUUCUUGGAUUAAAAACUGGAUGAAUAAGGUGAGGAGGGCAUUCAAUAGUUGCACUGCUUGUUGGACUCAUGAAAUAUGCUAUUGAUAGCCUUAUUCACCAGUGCCCUGUGUAUAACACUCUUUAACCUCCCAUUUGUCCAAGCCUGCCAGAAAAAUAAAAGAAAGCUUUAUACAGGGAUUAACAAGUGGAUCAAUAAGCUGAGAAGGGCAUUCAAUAGUUGCAUUGCUUGUUGGACUCAUGAAAUAUGCUAUUGCUAGUCUCUGCUUCUCCUUAUUCACCACUGCCCUGUGUAUAAC
rnacentral:lncRNA from 1 species